rnacentral:rRNA from 1 species
UACACGACCGUACCGCAAACCGACACUGGUGCGCGAGAUGAGUAUUCUAAGGCGCUUGAGAGAACUCAGGAGAAGGAACUCGGCAAAUUGACACCGUAACUUCGGAAGAAGGUGUGCCUUUAGUAGGUGAAGUCCCUCGCGGAUGGAGCCCAAUGAGGUUGCAAAAAAUCGGUGGCUGCGACUGUUUAUUAAAAACACAGCACUCUGCAAACACGAAAGUGGACGUAUAGGGUGUGACGCCUGCCCGGUGCUGGAAGAUUAAAUGAUGGGGUGCAAGCUCUUGAUUGAAGUCCCAGUAAACGGCGGCCGUAACGAUAACGGUCCUAAGGUAGCGAAAUUCCUUGUCGGGUAAGUUCCGACCUGCACGAAUGGCGUAACGAUGGCCACACUGUCUCCUCCUGAGACUCAGCGAAGUUGAAAUGUUUGUGAUGAUGCAAUCUCCCCGCGGAAAGACGGAAAGACCCCAUGAACCUUUACUGUAGCUUUGUAUUGGACUUUGAACAGAUCUGUGUAGGAUAGGUGGGAGGCUUUGAAGCAGGGUCGCUAGAUCUUGUGGAGCCAACGUUGAAAUACCACCCUGGUGUGUUUGAGGUUCUAACCUAGGCCCGUAAUCCGGGUUGGGGACAGUGCAUGGUAGGCAGUUUGACUGGGGCGGUCUCCUCCCAAAGUGUAACGGAGGAGUUCGAAGGUACGCUAGUUACGGUCGGACAUCGUGACGAUAGUGCAAUGGCAUAAGCGUGCUUAACUGCGAGACUGACAAGUCGAGCAGAUGCGAAAGCAGGACAUAGUGAUCCGGUGGUUCUGUAUGGAAGGGCCAUCGCUCAACGGAUAAAAGGUACUCUGGGGAUAACAGGCUGAUACCGCCCAAGAGUUCAUAUCGACGGCGGUGUUUGGCACCUCGAUGUCGGCUCAUCUCAUCCUGGGGCUGUAGCCGGUCCCAAGGGUAUGGCUGUUCGCCAUUUAAAGAGGUACGUGAGCUGGGUUUAAAACGUCGUGAGACAGUUUGGUCCCUAUCUUCCGUGGGCGCUGCAGAUUUGAGGAAGCCUGCUCCUAGUACGAGAGGACCGGAGUGGACGCACCUCUGGUGUAUCGGUUGUCACGCCAGUGGCAUUGCCGAGUAGCUAUGUGCGGAAGAGAUAACCGCUGAAAGCAUCUAAGCGGGAAACUCGUUUCAAGAUGAGAUCUGCCGGGGCCUUGAGCCCCCUGAAGAGUCGUUCAAGACCAGGACGUUGAUAGGUCGGGUGUGGAAGCGCAGUAAUGCGUUAAGCUAACCGAUACUAAUUGCUCGUGCGGCUUGACC